UACGUAGGUGGCAAGCGUUGUCCGGAAUUACUGGGCGUAAAGGGCGUGUAGGCGGCCUUUUAAGUCAGACGUGAAAACCCUGGGCUUAACCCAGGAACUGCGUUUGAAACUGGAAGGCUUGAGGACCGGAGAGGGUAGUGGAAUUCCCAGUGUAGCGGUGAAAUGCGUAGAUAUUGGGAGGAACACCAGUGGCGAAGGCGACUGCCUGGACGGCACCUGACGCUGAGGCGCGAAAGCGUGGGGAGCAAACAGG
rnacentral:rRNA from 1 species